rnacentral:rRNA from 1 species
GAUGAACGCUGGCGGCGUGCCUAAUACAUGCAAGUCGAGCGAACAGACGAGGAGCUUGCUCCUCUGACGUUAGCGGCGGACGGGUGAGUAACACGUGGAUAACCUACCUAUAAGACUGGGAUAACUUCGGGACACCGGAGCUAAUACCGGAUAAUAUAUUGAACCGCAUGGUUCAAUAGUGAAAGACGGUUUUGCUGUCACUUAUAGAUGGAUCCGCGCCGCAUUAGCUAGUUGGUAAGGUAACGGCUUACCAAGGCGACGAUGCGUAGCCGACCUGAGAGGGUGAUCGGCCACACUGGAACUGAGACACGGUCCAGACUCCUACGGGAGGCAGCAGUAGGGAAUCGUCCGCAAUGGGCGAAAGCCUGACGGAGCAACGCCGCGUGAGUGAUGAAGGUCUUCGGAUCGUAAAACUCUGUUAUUAGGGAAGAACAAAUGUGUAAGUAACUAUGCACGUCUUGACGGUACCUAAUCAGAAAGCCACGGCUAACUACGUG